UACGAACUCUUUACGCAUCCCCGCUGCCGAAAAGCCCUCCCACCAGCAUCGUCUUUCUCUUGUACUUAUCCUUCUUCAUCUUCUCAUCCAGCCCUUGACCCAAGCCUUCUCUUUCCUUCAAGCUUCUGACAGACCGGGAAAUUAAAUAAGAGGAUAAAUCAAAGAUGCCUCACAGAACACGUCCAUUGACAGCUCUAUUAGUGUUCACUGGCCUCAACGCUGUGCUGGUCUCAACCAUUACUCCUGUCUACGAUUUUGUCUGCUUCCUUCCUUACUGGGAGAGACGGCGAGAACGGUGUCGUUUAAAACGGGAAGCUUCAUCAAAUAAAUUUCAAUCAUCCUAAAAGAAGCUUCAUCAAAUAAAUUUCAAUCAUCCUAAAAGAUCUCGGAGACCUCCAUGGAAGAUAGGUUGUAUAAUUCAGUGAAGUGCCAUCAUCAAAAUGACAAUGAACACUUUCUCUAGUUGGUAAUUUCCUUGUAACCAAUAUGAAGAGUGGCUUUAGCCUUAUUAGUGUCUGGAUAAAAUAGGAAACU